ACGUCUACUUCAUCACCAGCAUCAAGCGUGGUUCCCAAGUCGUGAAGAACUGACAACAACUGCGUAAUACAAGAUCUUCCUCGAACAAAGCCAUGCUGUGCAGAUGUUAGAAGGUGACUGAGCUUCGAUAGUAAGUUCCUGAGGACGCAACGUUCACACAAUUUGCUCACAAUAAAUAGAAGCGAAAUUUGACGAUAGUUGGGCACUAAAAGCUUUACAUCCUUUUUUAAACACUGGUGUUAUGUUUGCCUGUUUCCAAUCACUUGGAAGCUUACCCAUACGUAAUGACUUGUUGAAUAAUAAGCAUAAGGAGGGAGCUAGUUCGUUUGCACAUUCUUUCAGAAUUCUCGGAUGGAGAUUGUCCGGUCCAGGUGUUUUACUCGAGUUGAGAUUUUGUAGAGAGG